GAUUGGCUAGAAUGAUGAUUCAAUUAGAUGUGUGAAAGGUGAAAUCCUUUUUGAACAUAAUUAUUGAGGCAUAUAUAAUUGUCUGACUUGUUGCCAAUC